rnacentral:rRNA from 3 species
GGGUUGUGAGGUUAAGCGACUAAGCGUACACGGUGGAUGCCCUGGCAGUCAGAGGCGAUGAAGGACGUGCUAAUCUGCGAUAAGCGCCGGUAAGGUGAUAUGAACCGUUAUAACCGGCGAUACCCGAAUGGGGAAACCCAGUGUGACUCGUCACACUAUCAUUAACUGAAUCCAUAGGUUAAUGAGGCGAACCGGGGGAACUGAAACAUCUAAGUACCCCGAGGAAAAGAAAUCAACCGAGAUUCCCCCA